rnacentral:misc_RNA from 1 species
CCGAAUCUUCGUAUUCAAAACAAUCCUUUUAUGGACCUAAAUAAAACCGUUGCCUUGGCAGGCGGCCCUACCUAACGGGCCAAAUAGUUUGGCUAUCUCCAAGGAGGUUUUCCUCCCUAAGGCGCUGGCGCCAGCCGCUGGCCCUAAACCAAAACUCUAAUAACUUUUACCUUUUGAAUUUUAAUGCAAGAAAUAAAUCA